GAGACGAAGGGGCGGAUGGAGCUCUCCCGGAAGAAGGGUCGGGGGGCAGGGCGUGCGGAUAACAUGAAGAUGGGGAUUCUUCGUCCCACGACCACCGGGAGGAGACCCUCACCACUCACUGUGCACGCGCGAGGGGGGAAGGGGACCGCGUGCUGAGCUGGAAGGGCAGGAGCUGAGGAGAUACGAAGGGCUCCCAUCGUGUUCCUGAGUGCCGCUCCUCUUCUGGCCGCACGCUGAGGGCAGGUGGAGGCCGGAACAAAGGGCAGGAGCCGGGGCAGAGAACUGUUUUGCUUCUUCAAUCUUCCUGGACGCUGUAUUUAUUGCUGCACGUCCAAAAGUGCAGCAGUUUCUGGAGUGCCAGGUGGGACCCGAUAGGUGACGGUCCUCUCGCCACCAAGCGUCCAGUUGCCAGCAGUGGGUGAGUUCACUGGGACUUUGGGGAUGGGAGGUGGCAGCCAGCAAGCCUUCAGUUUCUGCGACUAAAUUGGAAGGCUUGGAAGCACGCUACGCUGCGUGGGAAAUGCACUUGGUGCAGGAAAGGGGAUGUCCUUAGCCAAGGUACUGGAAAACUGAAGGAAAACAGAUGAAACUGCAGAUCCCUCAACAAAAACGUGAGCAGGUGACACUUGAUGUGGCAGGUUUGUGGUGCUGGAAAUAUCCAAAUAAUUUUCUAGGACGGUUUCUCUGAUAAAGCAGAUUUUAUUUGCAAUUGCAAUGGUGGGCCUCCUGCAAGCAGGAGAGCCCCGAGAAAGCAGUGUUACAUCUUUUAUCCCCUAUUGCCCGCCGCUGAUCUCUUUCUCCCCUGGUUCCUCAUUGGCUGAGUACUGCAGGUUCACACUUGUCAACGGUUUAUGGGCUGGUCCGGCCCAGUUCCGUGACCAGCAGGGCGGAGGGAUCUGCGGAUCCGCGCCUCUGGGAAAGGGGAAGCAGGGGACCCCAAAAUACUUGAAAACAACAGCACUGAUCUGAGGUGGAACAAAUGAUUUUACUAAAUAUACUAUUAGUAAAAUACAAUGAGAGAGAGAGAGAGAGAGAGAGUCUGUUUGAACUGUAUAGACCUCACCACAAUGCUGGGGUGAGAAGUGCAGUCCAGUUGAGCGACUGAAGUACAGACGGCAAAGUGCAGAUGGCAAAGCGCAGGCGGCGAAGCGCAGAUAGCGAAGCGCAGACAGCGAAGAGCAGACGAAGAAGAAGGAUCAGGUGACCUUGCUUGGAGUUAUAUCCCCUUGCUGACCGCAAAGUCUCCUGGGGAAAUGUAGUUCUUCUCCGACAGACGAACAUUCGGCAGAUAUCAAACCCCACCCCCAAUGCAUUACAUGAUGUUAUGGUGUGGAAUACUGAUGACCAAAAAAAUCAUAAAACCAUGACAACACUCUUUUGUGACGUUUCACUAAUCAUACAAACACCGAGUAGACACAAAUCUUUGCCGCCCAGAUGCAAAUGUCUUCCUUGGUUAACUGACUUCUAACAAUUGCUUUCUUAACAAACAAAUUUGGUCGUAACUUUUCGGAUGUCAGUUUUACAGCAUAAACAUGGAAAUAGCCUCAAUCGUUUAAUUACCCCCCCUAACAUUUGUGCCCCUUCACACUGGUCAUUGUUCUGGUCAUUCACCUGUCCUUGCAUAGAGAUAAGCUCGGAAGGAGGAUAGAGGGGAGUACCUUGGAGCCUGCCUAUGGCAUCCUAACAUUCCCACAAAGUGGGACAGUUCUGCUUUGUGUAAAGGCCCUGACUCCUUGAAAGUUUGUUCAAUGUGUUUUCUUUCUGCCGGUCUAAUGAACAACCUCACAAUCUGUUUCCUAGUUCACAAUACUAUACCCAUAUUGUUUAGAACAUUCAAAAUCUAUUGCAGCUUCGUGAGAAAGUAUUUGUUAGGUAAUUUGGUAACUAUGUUUCUAAAAUAUGUUACUAAUAUGUAUAUGGUAUUCUUACUUUCCACAUCAGCUAUUUCUAAGGGUAUGUUGCAGCUUAAUUCUUUAGAUCAAUUGCCCUUUUCAAUGUUCAGGGCAGAAACAACACUUUCACUUUCCACAGUGGGAAGGUCAGCUUCCCCGUGUUUGUGUGUCAGCCGUCAUCCUCCGUACCGGAGAGGCUUUAUCUGCUCGUCUUGCUUAAUUGCAGCACGUUUCACACGCAUGGACAACCUGUGCAAUAGCACCCUUGAUCCAGACCCCAUUUCCAUAUUGCAUCCCUUCCUCAAUGGCCGGAGGCGUCAUGGGAGCAUGGAGCAGGAAAUAAUUCCCUCUUGGGGUAGUUGAAGCACUAUGAAAAUCUGCCGGGUGAAGCCGUGCGUGCUCCAUCCCCGGAGGUGUUCAGGGUCAGUCUGGAUGGGACUCUGGGCAGCAUGACCCCGCGGGUGGCAUCUGUGCCCACGGUGGUGGGGCUGGGGUUCUAAGCUCUUUGCUGUCCCUUCCAACCCAAGCCAUUCUAUGACUCUGCGUUUCUGUGACGUAAGCACCGGCCCCACGCAGCCCUGGUGCAGUGCAUCACAAGAGCAGCAGCCCGCGGGGAGCCGCCGCCCGGAAUCUCGGAGCCGUGAGGUCACAAUGCCCCGUCCUAUGACUGUGCUGUGCUGUGCCGCAGGCUUCGCUCUGUGCGACACUCACUGUGGCUGCAGCGGUGGUGUUGGAAGCAUGGUGCGAGUGUGGGGGGCCAUGGCCCCUGCCCGCCUUGUCCUCUUCCUCCUACUGAUGGCCAUGUGUUUCCGGGAGACCUGUGCUGCUCCGUGGCGAGCACCGGGAGCAGGUGGGUGGGCAGAGAUGGGACCCAAACCGAGCAGCACUGGCGGCAAGAAGUCAGGCUGUGUCCCCACGGCCCUGUGCCAUGCUUCCCUGGGGCCUGCCUUCCACGGGGGUGCUGUCGGGCAGGGGGUGAGGGCCAGCGCAGCAGGAGCCGGGCCGGAGCCCGUGGCAGCGCUGCUCCCCAGAGCCGGCUCCAGCCACGCCGGGCCAUGGCUCUGCUGCUUGCUGGCUGGAGCACAGCCUUCAUCCUGGGAGACGUCCUGGGGAGAGCUGGGAAAAGCGUGAGCAUUUCUGCUCCAGGCUCGUGGUACUCGUGGUACCCUAGGUGAAUGCCAGCUUCCAACACAGAGCCCCGGCCCACGGCCCAGAGGAAGAGACAGGCGUGCCUUCCUCCAGUGCUUCAGGGUGACCUUCCUGUCCGUUAGAGGCCUCCCAGUAAGAAAGCCCCGGGGGGCUGCAUCUUCUUCCACGCGGUCCGUGAGGGAUGUGGCACACGGCUUGGGGAGAGCACUGUGUACGCUGCCAGGUGCCAGCCUACACGUCAUCCUGGCCACUCCGCAACUUUGGAAAUCGUGACCUGAGUCCUUCUGCCAUCCCGUUGCACGACCCGCAUCCAGUGACCGAGGGAGAAGGAGAUCACGCCAUGCAAUGGGAAUUUCUCCCAUCUGUUCUUGAUUCUAGGUGAUGCCCUUGGUGCUCCCUUUGCAAAUGAUCGUUUGAGUUCGGAUUUUGUGCCUGUGCCUGUGGAACAACCCAGAGGCCCUGCUGGUGAAUCCACAGGAGAGUAUCCUGUCUACGAGCCUGAAGGGGAUGCUGGAGGUAAGUCAGCAGGCUUCAUUUCCUCGGUAUUGGAUCAUAUUUGGCUGGGAUAGUUCAGCAAGGGUUCCGCUUUUCAGCGGCCAGCGGGUUCUUCUCCCCGAGAAGCGUGGAUGGCCGUUGUUUCUUGGGUGCUCCGUGCUGUCAGCGUGGUGUUGCCUUCGUCCCUGUAUCUCCGAGGUCUCUCAGCAAGAAAAUUUCAAGGGGCUGAGUGUUCUUCCAUGAGGUCCCUGAGCAUUGUUUCCCGUGGCCUGGAGAAAGUAUUUGGAAAGCUGUGGAAUACCAGCCAGCAGGUCACCUGGCUGCUCUGCAGCUUUGGAACUUUCCCCCCGUGCCAUUAGCUGAGCCCCUUCCUUCACCGCAGCUCGCUAAGGAAGAGAGAGAUGGGCACUUGCAAUGGCAACGUUUCUCCUCUGUCCUUGCUUACAGCUGUGUCUCCAGGCAGUGGCUUACCAAAGCCUAGGUUUAGUC